GGCUGCUCGCAGCCCGACCUCUCACCCCCAUGUGUACCUUGAAUCUGUUGCUUUGGCGGGUUGGCGCGGUCGCCACCGCGCGCGCCCGCCGGAGAAAGUCUGCCUCGGCGGGCUGUCUACAAUACUGUUGCAUGAGAGCGUCUGAGUCGCGAGGAAAUACGCAAAAACUUUCAACAACGGAUCUCUUGGUUCCGGCAUCGAUGAAGAACGCAGCGAAACGCGAUAGCUAGUGUGAAUUGCAGAUUUUCGUGAAUCAUCGAGUCUUUGAACGCACAUUGCGCCCCCUGGUAUUCCGGGGGGCAUGCCUAUUCGAGCGUCGUGGUCACGCUUCAAGCCCGGCUUGAUGAUGGGGAACGCCCUCUCUCGGGGGGGCCUCCUUCAAAUGCAACUCCAGACGCCUCGUUGGCUGGGAGCGCAGCAGCAGUGCGCUUCCCCGAGGCGACCGGAUGCCCCUCGUGGGCUCGAGAUUGCUAGACCUCGAAUUAGGCAGGGAUACCCGCUGAACUUAAGCAUAUCA
rnacentral:rRNA from 1 species